UUUUUGUUUUAGGUUUGUUACAUUCUUUAACUGAAGUUUGUAAUGAAUAAAUAAGGCCGACUUGUAAAACCGAAGUCUCAAAAUCGAACCAAAUUUGUUAAUGCACAGUGUUAGAAGUGGAGGUCGAGCCUUCGUAUAGAAGCACUCAAUAUUCACUAAUGAUCCUUCCGCAGGUUCACCUACGGAAA
rnacentral:misc_RNA from 1 species